rnacentral:rRNA from 1 species
GUCUACGGCCAUGCUACCCUGAACAAGCCCCAUCCCGUCUGAUCUUGGAAGCUAAGCAGGGUUGGGUCUGGUUAGUACUUGAAUGGGAGACCACCUAGGAAGACCAGGUGCUGUAGGCA